rnacentral:lncRNA from 1 species
UUUCUAAACACAUUUUUACUUUUAUGAAGCAACAAAUUUCAUUUUUCACCGAUGUACAACAAAAGUUUUUACUAACAAGUCCAUUUCCAUCACAUUGAAAAUCACAUUUUUAUUGUAGUAGACCCUCAAGGGUUUUGACGUCAUUGAGAUCCUGUUUCCCACCUUAAAAUCCAAAAGCCAAGAUGUUGAUUAGGAUGUUUAUUUAAAACAUGUGACAUGAAAAAAUAUUAUGAUAACUAGAGCUUACCGGUGUAACAAAUCAGUAGUAACAGGAGAAUUACCAUCGUAUGUGAUUUCACAUGCUGCAUCAUUGUGCGCUUGGCAAUCAACCAAGUGGAACAAAUGACGUGGAUGUAAUCCAAGUAGCCUGAGACGAGUACUAAACACUCACUACUCAAAGAAAAACUAGAUUUAUUCAUUUAAAAGCUUGGGAAAUUGUGAUGACUCAUGAUAAAUGGGUACCCAAUCUAUUAGUUGAUCUUGAUGGCCCAGCGGGGUUCUCAAAAAAGAUAUUAAAACGCUGAGUUGCAAAAUUACACAACCUCAACGGAUGCUUAUCAAACAACAUUCUCGAUAUCAAUUUAAAUGACGACACAACACCAAGAAUGCUGCAACAGAGGAAAAGUUUCGAGUAGUCAAGCAAGGGAAAGAAGGUUGGGUGAAUUCCAUGCACGAAUUCAAGUUGGCAAAAAUGUUGGAUAUAGUGGAGAAUAGAGAACAACACAAGUUAUUGGCGGAUAUAAAGUUAACAAGAUAAGUACAACAUAUGAAAUACUUCGUUGAGAUCGAGAAGAGUAAAUAUUUGAACGUUUUGAGCCAACCGCAUGAAAACACCGAAGAACCGUAUGGGUUGAUUCUCAUAGA